ACUCCUACGGGAGGCAGCAGUGGGGAAUAUUGCGCAAUGGGCGAAAGCCUGACGCAGCGACGCCGCGUGAGGGAUGAAGGCCUUCGGGUUGUAAACCUCUUUCAGCAGGGAAGAAGCGCAAGUGACGGUACCUGCAGAAGAAGCACCGGCUAACUACGUGCCAGCAGCCGCGGUAAUACGUAGGGUGCAAGCGUUGUCCGGAAUUAUUGGGCGUAAAGAGCUCGUAGGCGGUUUGUCGCGUCUGCUGUGAAAACGCGGGGCUCAACUCCGCGCCUGCAGUGGGUACGGGCAGACUAGAGUGCAGUAGGGGAGACUGGAAUUCCUGGUGUAGCGGUGGAAUGCGCAGAUAUCAGGAGGAACACCGGUGGCGAAGGCGGGUCUCUGGGCUGUAACUGACGCUGAGGAGCGAAAGCGUGGGUAGCGAACAGGAUUAGAUACCCUGGUAGUCCACGCCGUAAACGUUGGGCGCUAGGUGUGGGCCUCAUUCCACGAGGUCCGUGCCGCAGCUAACGCAUUAAGCGCCCCGCCUGGGGAGUACGGCCGCAAGGCUAAAACUCAAAUGAAUUGACGG
rnacentral:rRNA from 1 species